CGGGCUUGAACUGCGCAGGCAGGGGCGAGAGAUCGUCCUGUUCUUCGGACCUGCGUGGAGGUGCUGCAUGGUUGUCGUCAGCUCGUGCCGUGAGGUGUCGGCUCAAGUGCCAUAACGAGCGCAACCCCUGUCGCCAGUUGCCAUCAGGUUCAGGCUGGGCACUCUGGUGAUACUGCCAUCGCAAGAUGUGAGGAAGGUGGGGAUGACGUCAAAUCAGCACGGCCCUUACGUCCGGGGCUACACACGUGUUACAAUGGGGGGCACAGAAGGCCGCGACCCGGCGACGGGGAGCCAAUCCCUAAAUCCCCUCUCAGUUCGGAUAGGAGUCUGCAACCCGACUCCUUGAAGCUGGAUUCGCUAGUAAUCGCGCAUCAGCCAUGGCGCGGUGAAUACGUUCCCGGGCC
rnacentral:rRNA from 1 species